rnacentral:miRNA from 10 species
UAUUAGGUUGGUGCAAAAGUAAUUGCAGUUUUUGCCAUUAAAAGUAAUGGCAAAACCAUAAUUGCUUUGCACCAACCUAUAUCUCUUACCUUUUCACC